rnacentral:misc_RNA from 1 species
UUGGUAAUGAGCUUCACAGCUUGUCAUAAUGCUCUUAUUCAUUAGUAAAGCUUUGUUUUUUAUCAGUUGCUUUCACUUUACAGGUUAUCGGCAGAUUCACAUAUUCUUCAUUGUAUAUAAUUCGCUGAUGCUCUUCAUAGUUAUAACUGUUUAUUUACAUUUCUGUAGAAAAUAAAGGUGUGCUAGGUUUGACCUACACUCAGAAAAAAGUUUUGGUUAUCCAAAUAGACUGUUGUGUGCAUUCUUAUCAUCUUAUUUCAGUUGCUUAAGUAUUACAUUGCACGCUGUUUCCCUUUUCCUUGAACACCCUUUCCCUCUUUCCAUCUCUUCUGGUCGAGUGUGUUAAAUUUAUUCAUGCAAUUGUUCUGUUAAGGGUGCCAAUGUAAAAUCUCAACUCCUUGUUGCUUCUUCCUCUUACAAAUGGCAAUUUUAGUUGUCUAUCUUUGUAAUAGAGAACCACUGAGCUAAACUUUUAUGCUACUUGUUAUUGAUCUCUUUAAUUCUGCCAUACAGUACUGAAACUCAUCCUUUUUCCAUGAUUUUGUUGAUUCAGUUGAGAAUGCUUGAAACUUAUGAUUCAUAAAACUGUAACAGGCAUCAGCUGAUCAAAGAUCAAG